rnacentral:rRNA from 1 species
AGAGUUUGAUCCUGGCUCAGAUUGAACGCUGGCGGCAUGCCUUACACAUGCAAGUCGAACGGCAGCACGAGAGCUUGCUCUUGGUGGCGAGUGGCGAACGGGUGAGUAAUAUAUCGGAACGUACCCUAGAGUGGGGGAUAACGUAGCGAAAGUUACGCUAAUACCGCAUACGAUCUACGGAUGAAAGUGGGGGAUCGCAAGACCUCAUGCUCAUGGAGCGGCCGAUAUCUGAUUAGCUAGUUGGUGGGGUAAAAGCUCACCAAGGCGACGAUCAGUAGCUGGUCUGAGAGGACGACCAGCCACACUGGAACUGAGACACGGUCCAGACUCCUACGGGAGGCAGCAGUGGGGAAUUUUGGACAAUGGGCGCAAGCCUGAUCCAGCAAUGCCGCGUGAGUGAAGAAGGCCUUCGGGUUGUAAAGCUCUUUUGUCAGGGAAGAAACGGUGGACUCUAAUACAGAUCACUAAUGACGGUACCUGAAGAAUAAGCACCGGCUAACUACGUGCCAGCAGCCGCGGUAAUACGUAGGGUGCAGGCGUUAAUCGGAAUUACUGGGCGUAAAGCGUGCGCAGGCGGUUGUGCAAGACAGAUGUGAAAUCCCCGGGCUCAACCUGGGAAUUGCAUUUGUGACUGCACGGCUAGAGUGUGUCAGAGGGGGGUAGAAUUCCACGUGUAGCAGUGAAAUGCGUAGAGAUGUGGAGGAAUACCGAUGGCGAAGGCAGCCCCCUGGGAUAACACUGACGCUCAUGCACGAAAGCGUGGGGAGCAAACAGGAUUAGAUACCCUGGUAGUCCACGCCCUAAACGAUGUCUACUAGUUGUCGGGUCUUAAUUGACUUGGUAACGCAGCUAACGCGUGAAGUAGACCGCCUGGGGAGUACGGUCGCAAGAUAAAAACUCAAAGGAAUUGACGGGGACCCGCACAAGCGGUGGAUGAUGUGGAUUAAUUCGAUGCAACGCGAAAAACCUUACCUACCCUUGACAUGUCUGGAAUCCUUGAGAGAUCAGGGAGUGCUCGAAAGAGAAUCAGAACACAGGUGCUGCAUGGCUGUCGUCAGCUCGUGUCGUGAGAUGUUGGGUUAAGUCCCGCAACGAGCGCAACCCUUGUCAUUAGUUGCUACGAAAGGGCACUCUAAUGAGACUGCCGGUGACAAACCGGAGGAAGGUGGGGAUGACGUCAAGUCCUCAUGGCCCUUAUGGGUAGGGCUUCACACGUCAUACAAUGGUACAUACAGAGGGCCGCCAACCCGCGAGGGGGAGCUAAUCCCAGAAAGUGUAUCGUAGUCCGGAUUGUAGUCUGCAACUCGACUACAUGAAGUUGGAAUCGCUAGUAAUCGCGGAUCAGCAUGUCGCGGUGAAUACGUUCCCGGGUCUUGUACACACCGCCCGUCACACCAUGGGAGCGGGUUUCACCAGAAGUGGGUAGCCUAACCGCAAGGAGGGCGCUCACCACGGUGGGAUUCGUGACUGGGGUGAAGUCGUAACAAGGUA